ensembl:lncRNA
UUCCAACCCAAACCAUUCUAUGAUUCUGUGAUGUUUUAUAGAUACAUAUAUUUAUAUAGCUGUAGCUUUAACAUUUUGGGUACUGCAGAAAGGGAAGUGCAGAUGCUAAAUAGUGAAAUGAUUUACUGAAGAACACAUGCAAGUUUGUGACAGAGCCAGGCAUAGACAGUGAGCUCUUUGUUACCUAUCUUUCAUCUACAAUGCCAAAGACUGACAAAAAAUGAUGAGUGUUGAAGUUUCAUGUUUACUCGAGCUAUUAUUGGCAAAAUAAUGAUGAUUUCAGACUUAUUUAAUUGUCUUGCCUGAGUUUUAGGACUUCCUUUUAUGCUACAAGCUCCUGUUAAUUCUGACAUGCAUGCCUGUCAGUCCCCGCUGUUUGCAAAGGGACACACUGCUGUAGAGGCCUAAAUGGAAAGUUAAAAUCAGAAGAGAAACUUUUUACAUCAGAAAUGGUAGUACAAAACCGGAGUAGAAAUGAGCGAAGAACACGCCACAUCCUCUGAAUGAAGUGUGUGUUUUACAUGACAUUGCAGGCAUCUAAGGGCCAUGUAUUAGGUGGAGUACUGGAGGUACAUGUCUGUUCAGGGAGGGGCACUGCCACUUGCAGGUAGAAAAGUUCAAAAUAUUUUUUUAAAUGGUUUAAAAUAAUAUAGGAAAGCAGGAGAGAAAAAGACACAUCUCUUCAAAUAGAUGAAAGCAAAUUGGGUGAGGCAGCAUACAUGUACACUUGCACACACACACGCAUUUAUAAAGUUCUGAUGGCCUUUCCAGGAUACUAUACAUACAGGUGUAAAGUAUAUGCUUGCACACGCACUUUUCUCAUGUUUUCAUGUCUUUUCAUGUAUUUUUUCUCUUUGAAGUGUAAUCUGGCACUCCCAGGACAACUUCCCUUUGUGAGGAAAUCAGGCAGCCCUGUGGAAUUAUGGCCUUGCCUAUUUAUUCCUAUGGUUGUCAACACAACAUACACAAACUCCUUUGGGCUGCCAACUCUCAUCUCUUAUAGCACAGAAAUUAAAUCAGUUAUCUUGGACUUAAAAAAUAACACAGCUUCCACAAAUGUGCCUUGGUAAUGUCCUCGAGCCUCCUGGUGGGAUGAAGACAGACACAGAGAAGCAGGAGCAGUGUGUAUGUGGUUGUUGGGUUGUUUUUCUUCAGUGCCAUCAGUGACCAUUUGUGUUUAGCUGAAACUGCAGCACCAGGUCCUGUCAACAAGAUAAAUAAAUAAACAGAACAUUCUGUUUGAGGUUGAACUAGUGAAGCCAGGUUUCCUAGCAGGUUAUAUCCCAUAGUUCAGUUUCUUCACAUCUAAUAAAAUGUAAGUUAAGCUUCAAGCUUUUCCUGUCCUUGAAAGAUGCAUUUCUCCCGUAUGGAUUCUCAGUUGUGUAAGAGGGAAUGAACAAUAUUCCCCAAGGUGGGAGCACUAGUUCAGGCUUUUCUCUUUCAACAGACCAACUAAUUCAAAGGAACUUGUCAGUGUUUAAUUUCUUGGUUAAAUUUGUGAUUGUCCGCAGAUUCAAAAUGCAGAGGUGUGGUUAUAUGUGUACACACAGAGGCAUAAAGACAGCACAAUUACAAUAGCUCAGCUCCACUGGGAACUAUGCUAAGCACUGGGUCUUUAUUUGAAGAAAACAGAAAAUACCAGUGUUAUUACUGAUCCCCUUUGAACUCCAAUUCAUUAUUUUUUAUUAAGAGCACUGGAGAACUGCUGAUGGCAAGAGCAACAGAGAAUAUUGUGAAGUGUGGCAGUGAAUGCUUCCCUUCCCUUUGGUGUAAGGUAAAAUUUUGGUUAUUUUUUUAUAGCAGUUUGGGAAGGGUUGAAUCCAACUUGCCAGAACAGCAGGAUUUCUGGCAGGCUGCUGGCAAGACUGGUCAAAGGUAUUGAAGCUUUCACAAUAUUUGGUGAUUUAUUAACAAGGUUUGAUUAUAUGCUUACAACUGCUGAAAUAAUGAGUAUGAAAUGUUACUAACACAUUGCAAGUUUCUGCAUUUGUUACAAGUUGCAAAUUAUUUUCUAUUGGGGAGGGGGCAUUUUAAAAAAACCAUAAAAUACCACAAAAAUGUUAUGAAAAAAAAUACAAAUGGCUUUCAUGCAGAAG